ACCUGGUUGGCUCAUUUGGUAGAGCAGGCGAUUCUUAAUCUCAGGGUCAUGAGUUCAAACCCACACUAGGUA
rnacentral:tRNA from 1 species